ACGGGAGGCAGCAGUAGGGAAUAUUGCACAAUGGGGGGAACCCUGAUGCAGCAACGCCACGUGUGGGAAGACGCAUUUCGGUGUGUAAACCACUGUCGUGAGGGAAUAAGGCUACUUUCCGGAGUAGUUGAAUGUACCUUGAAAGGAAGCACCGGCAAACUUUGUGCCAGCAGCCGCGGUAAUACGAGGGGUGCAAGCGUUGUUCGGAAUCACUGGGCGUAAAGGGAGCGCAGGCGGAGAUGCAAGCGGACUGUAAAAUACCGGGGCCCAACCCCGGAGCUGCAGUACGGACUGCACCUCUUGGAUAGUUCAGGGGCAAGCGGAAUUCCUGGUGUAGCGGUGGAAUGCGUAGAGAUCAGGAAGAACACCGAUGGCGAAGGCAGCUUGCUGGGGACUAAUCGACGCUCAUGCUCGAAAGUGCGGGUAGCAAACAGGAUUAGAUACCCUGGUA
rnacentral:rRNA from 1 species